AUGCUCAUAGCGAACUGGAUGUUGAGCUAUUUUACACUUGCAUACUCAGAAUGCUUUGAAUUACUGAUGCAUCAACAGGUUCUACUUUGUUUGACUAAGAAACAAUCCUGUGUGGCAAGGGCCUUGGCAAGCGGCAAAGGGCUUCACAUCUUCUGUUCAAACAAUGCGAUUGCUUGUUCUGUUUUCUUUGCUCAGCGUUCCUGUUUAGUCAUUCCUUCAUUUUAUUUCGCGCAAGGUUUCCUUCCCUUCCAUACCUAUAUAUUAUAUAAAUUGUUCUACGUUGCUCUUUCUGAUUCAUGCAUCUGCUGCACUAUGGCACCUCAAGCUUCAGCAAAAAUAUAUUACGUUUGGUCUUUGAUGUCAUCAUAUAUUUAUUUAGUUUUGAGUCCACCCAUUUAUUUUUUGUAUAAAUCAUGUGCAACCUAA
rnacentral:rRNA from 1 species